GACGAACGCUGGCGGCGUGCCUAAUACAUGCAAGUAGGACGCAGUUGCGAACGGGUGAGUAACGCGUAGGUAACUGACUAUUAGAGGGGGAUAACUAUUGGAAACGAUAGCUAAUACCGCAUACUAGUAGAUGGACCUGCGUUGUAUUAGCUAGUAGGUAGGGUAAUGGCCUACCUAGGCAACGAUACAUAGCCGACGUGAGAGGGUGAUCGGCGACACUGGGAAGGAGAGAAGGGCCAGAAUCCUACGGGAGGCAGCAGUAGAGAAUCGUCGGGAAUGGGGGGAACCCUGACCGAGCAACGACGCGUGAGUGAAGAGGGUUUUCGGAUCGUAAAGCUCUGUUGUUAAGGAAGCGGUACUUAACCAGAAAGGGACGGCUAACUACGUGCCAGCAGCCGCGGUAAUAC
rnacentral:rRNA from 1 species